rfam:Desulfovibrio desulfuricans subsp. desulfuricans str. ATCC 27774, complete genome.
AUGAUGACCAUGAGAGAGCUUGCUGCUGGACAGCACGCCGAAGGGGCAAGAGCAAUCGAAACUCUCAGGCAAAAGGAUCAUGGUCGGACG